GUCUAUAGCCAUACCACCCUGAAUGCACCCAAUCUCCUUUGAUCUCAGAAGCUAAGUAGGGUCUUGCCUGGUUAGUACUUGUAUGGGAGAAGUGUAUCCUAUAUAAUUCAUGUGUCUGCAGCUAAGUGCUAUGACC
ensembl:rRNA 5S_rRNA 5S ribosomal RNA